rnacentral:rRNA from 1 species
AUUGAACGCUGGCGGCAUGCCUUACACAUGCAAGUCGAACGGCAGCACGGGAGCAAUCCUGGUGGCGAGUGGCGAACGGGUGAGUAAUAUAUCGGAACGUGCCCAGUCGUGGGGGAUAACGUAGCGAAAGCUACGCUAAUACCGCAUACGAUCUAUAGAUGAAAGCGGGGGAUCGCAAGACCUCGCGCGAUUGGAGCGGCCGACAUCAGAUUAGGUAGUUGGUGAGGUAAAGGCUCACCAAGCCGACGAUCUGUAGCUGGUCUGAGAGGACGACCAGCCACACUGGGACUGAGACACGGCCCAGACUCCUACGGGAGGCAGCAGUGGGGAAUUUUGGACAAUGGGCGCAAGCCUGAUCCAGCAAUGCCGCGUGCAGGAUGAAGGCCUUCGGGUUGUAAACUGCUUUGUACGGAACGAAACGGUGAGCUCUAAUACAGUUUGCUAAUGACGGUACCGUAAGAAUAAGCACCGGCUAACUACGUG